GAACGCUAGCUACAGGCUUAACACAUGCAAGUCGAGGGGCAUCAGGAAGAAAGCUUGCUUUCUUUGCUGGCGACCGGCGCACGGGUGAGUAACACGUAUCCAACCUGCCCUUUACUCGGGGAUAGCCUUUCGAAAGAAAGAUUAAUACCCGAUAGCAUAAUGAUUCCGCAUGGUUUCAUUAUUAAAGGAUUCCGGUAAAGGAUGGGGAUGCGUUCCAUUAGGUUGUUGGUGAGGUAACGGCCCACCAAGCCUUCGAUGGAUAGGGGUUCUGAGAGGAAGGUCCCCCACAUUGGAACUGAGACACGGUCCAAACUCCUACGGGAGGCAGCAGUGAGGAAUAUUGGUCAAUGGGCGCUAGCCUGAACCAGCCAAGUAGCGUGAAGGAUGAAGGCUCUAUGGGUCGUAAACUUCUUUUAUAUAAGAAUAAAGUGCAGUAUGUAUACUGUUUUGUAUGUAUUAUAUGAAUAAGGAUCGGCUAACUCCGUGCCAGCAGCCGCGGUAAUACGGAGGAUCCGAGCGUUAUCCGGAUUUAUUGGGUUUAAAGGGAGCGUAGGUGGACUGGUAAGUCAGUUGUGAAAGUUUGCGGCUCAACCGUAAAAUUGCAGUUGAUACUGUCAGUCUUGAGUACAGUAGAGGUGGGCGGAAUUCGUGGUGUAGCGGUGAAAUGCUUAGAUAUCACGAAGAACUCCGAUUGCGAAGGCAGCUCACUGGACUGCAACUGACACUGAUGCUCGAAAGUGUGGGUAUCAAACAGGAUUAGAUACCCUGGUAGUCCACACAGUAAACGAUGAAUACUCGCUGUUUGCGAUAUACAGUAAGCGGCCAAGCGAAAGCAUUAAGUAUUCCACCUGGGGAGUACGCCGGCAACGGUGAAACUCAAAGGAAUUGACGGGGGCCCGCACAAGCGGAGGAACAUGUGGUUUAAUUCGAUGAUACGCGAGGAACCUUACCCGGGCUUAAAUUGCAGUGGAAUGAUGUGGAAACAUGUCAGUGAGCAAUCACCGCUGUGAAGGUGCUGCAUGGUUGUCGUCAGCUCGUGCCGUGAGGUGUCGGCUUAAGUGCCAUAACGAGCGCAACCCUUAUCUUUAGUUACUAACAGGUUAUGCUGAGGACUCUGGAGAGACUGCCGUCGUAAGAUGUGAGGAAGGUGGGGAUGACGUCAAAUCAGCACGGCCCUUACGUCCGGGGCUACACACGUGUUACAAUGGGGGGUACAGAAGGCAGCUAGCGGGUGACCGUAUGCUAAUCCCAAAAGCCUCUCUCAGUUCGGAUCGAAGUCUGCAACCCGACUUCGUGAAGCUGGAUUCGCUAGUAAUCGCGCAUCAGCCACGGCGCGGUGAAUACGUUCCCGGGCCUUGUACACACCGCCCGUCAAGCCAUGGGAGCCGGGGGUACCUGAAGUACGUAACCGCAAGGAUCGUCCUAGGGUAAAACUGGUGACUGGG
rnacentral:rRNA from 1 species